rnacentral:rRNA from 1 species
UGGGCAACCUGCCCCUCUCUCUGGGAUAACCCCCGGGGAAACCGGAGCUAAUACCGGAUACUCCGGCUGGAUCGCAUGGUCCGGCCGGGAAAGGUCCGCCGGAGAGGGAUGGGCCCGCGGCCUAUCAGCUUGUUGGUGAGGUAAUGGCUCACCAAGGCGACGACGGGUAGCCGGCCUGAGAGGGUGACCGGCCACACGUGGGACUGAGACACGGCCCAGACUCCGUACGGGAGCA